UCCGUAGGUGGAUAAUUAAGUCAGAGGUGAAAUCCUGCAGCUCAACUGUAGAAUUGCCUUUGAUGCUGGUUAUCUUGAGUCAUUAUGAAGUGGUUAGAAUGUGUAGUGUAGCGGUGAAAUGCAUAGAUAUUACACAGAAUACCGAUUGCGAAGGCAGAUCACUAAUAAUGUACUGACACUGAGGGACGAAAGCGUGGGGAGCGAACAGGAUUAGAUACCCUGGUAGUCC
rnacentral:rRNA from 1 species